CGCGGCUUUUCCCGCCGUUGCCCUCAGAGCCCUCAGAGCCGUCAGCGGCGCGAUUCGUGAGGGCGGCGCAAGAGAAAAAUGAUCCGGGCGGCUCGAGAAAAGAAGCCGUCAGGGAAGAACCAGCAGACAUCACAUAGGAUGACGAGGCAAGAGACAGAAUGAGAAGAGCUGACUCAAGAAGGCGUCGAGGGAGAAAGAAGAGACGGCGUGGCAAGAGGAUCGGACGCUUCGAGGUCAAGAGUGGAACGGCGUGGCAACACACGGAGCAAGAGGAUCAGCAGCUUCGGGGUCAAGAGUGGAACGGCGUGGCAAGACAACGGAGCAAGAGGAUCAGCAGCUUCGUGGUCAAGAAGAGGUGGCACGAGGGACACUCUGGGCAUAGCAUCCCUGGUAUUUCCAGGGCGCAGAUUCCUAAGAGUCUGCUGGGCACCUUCACGGUGCCCUGUUUUGUGCUGGGCGACCUCCCUGUAACCAGGGCUGGGUCUUUGCGUUGCAGCCGUUGGCCUUUUGCCAUUGGGCUGCUUUGGCUGGCCAGAGAGAGAGGCAGCCCUGUAAGGAGGGUGAGAGCCCCGGUCUCUGCCGCCAAGGGGGGAAGUGGAGCACCCCCAGGCCGCCCUGUAAGCGGGGCUGGGCCUUUUCCCCUGGUCCGUGGCUUUGUGCCCCUGGCCAGCGUGUGAGCCCUGUACUCGGGGCGUGUCACAGCCUGCUGUGCCUUGGCCUCCCCUGAAUCCUCUGCGCGGGUUUAGGCCCUUGUGGCCUCCCUGCAGCCGCCCCCUGCCCGGGACAGGCCUGAAGCUCUUGGUCUCCUGUUCAGCGGCAGGCAGGCCCCCUGGUCUGUGCACAGAGCUCGCUCCCUCUCCUGGCCCCUUGUCCUUCCUCGUGUGUUGCCCUGUCCACCUCAGUGUGAGUGAGGCGGUGUGAGUGUCCCUUUGUCCCCGUUAGAAACUGAGCAGAGUAGCUUAGGCUUCCCAGGAGAGGAAGAGGAGCUCUGUGACUCAGCCAGGGGUGCCCUGUCACAGCGCGGGCAGAGACAGAGCACGGCCUGGCCCUUUGCUCCUGAGGACAGAGCGAUGCCACUUAGUGGCGGCACGGGCUGCGGGCCCCGCCUGUAGCCAGGCCUGGGGCUGUGCCCGUGCUGCGGGGCUGCCUGUCCUGUCCUGCUGGUGACCUGCCAGCGUGCCUGGCCUGCCCUCGCAGCAGGCAGCAGCUCCAGCCCCCUGUAAGCAGGGGUGCAGCCUCUUUGGCAGCUGCUUUGCGAGCCCAGCUUGGUUUGCCCAGAGGACCUCGCUGCCACUGUCACCAGUGCCAGACCUGCGGCCAACGAUGAGGAACACCAGCUUUGAUUUCUUUUCCUUCAAUAAAAUACCUUUUUUGUGUCUGGUGUGGUGUUUUUCUUACCCCUUUUCCCCUCAUGAUUUUACACUUGUCCUGUGUUUCUUUGACAUUUUCCUCUGUAGUUGUUCAAUAAAAUACCUUUUUUGUGUCUGGUGUGUUUUUCUUACCCCUUUUCCCAUCAUGAUUUUACACCUGUCCUGUGUUUCUUUGACAUUUUCCCCUGUAGUUGUUCAAUGAAAUACCUUUUUUGUGUCUGGUGUGGUGUUUUUCUUUCCCCUUUUCCUCUCAUGAUUUUGCACCUGUCCUGUGUUUCUUUGACAUUUUCCCCUGUAGUUGUUCAAUGAAAUACCUUUUUUUGUGUCUGCUGUGUUUUUCUUACCCCGUUUCCCCUCAUGGUUUUACACUUGUCCUGUGUUUCUUUGACAUUUUCCCCUGUAGUUGUUCAAUGAAAUACCUUUUUUUGUGUCUGCUGUGUUUUUCUUACCCCGUUUCCCCUCAUGAUUUUACACUUGUCCUGUGUUUCUUUGACAUUGUCCCCUGUAGUUGUUCAAUAAAAUACCUUUUUUGUG